CUACGUGCCAGCAGCCGCGGUAAUACGGAAGGUCCAGGCGUUAUCCGGAUUUAUUGGGUUUAAAGGGAGUGUAGGCGGUUUGUUAAGCGUGUUGUGAAAUUUAGAUGCUCAACAUUUAACUUGCAGCGCGAACUGGCGAACUUGAGUGCACACAACGUAUGCGGAAUUCAUGGUGUAGCGGUGAAAUGCUUAGAUAUCAUGAAGAACUCCGAUUGCGAAGGCAGCAUACGGGAGUGUAACUGACGCUUAAGCUCGAAGGUGCGGGUAUCGAACAGGAUUAGAUACCCUGGUAGUCCGCACAGUAAACGAUGGAUGCCCGCUGUUAGCGCCUGGCGUUAGCGGCUAAGCGAAAGCAUUAAGCAUCCCACCUGGGGAGUACGCCGGCAACGGUGAAACUCAAAGGAAUUGACGGGGGCCCGCACAAGCGGUGGAGCAUGUGGUUUAAUUCGAUGCAACGCGAAGAACCUUACCUACUCUUGAC
rnacentral:rRNA from 1 species